rnacentral:sRNA from 1 species
AAAAGGAAUAGAAAAGCAGAUCGAAGAGAGAAACAGGAGAGAAACGUGAAGGAGAUGGCGGAAGAAAGAUAAAAAUUCCUAUCUCUAAAACCAAAAAU